GUCAUUCACUGUAUGAACAUAUGAAACUGAAGCACAUGAUCUUCAGACUAUGCACAGAUCUUUCAUUCACUGUCGUUGUAAGUUAUAUUUUUUCAUUUUAACCUGUUUUUUUUCCCGCUCUUCCUUUGGCCACGCCCCUCACCACUGUCCACCUCCACUUCCUGUUGUUUCCUUUGCCACAUGCAGGACAAUCAGCGUCACCUGUUCCUCUGCCUCCUGCUUAGCCUCCUCACCUCCAGCCUCUUCCUCUGCUUUUGAAACCAUAUCUGCACGUUUCCCCUGGCGCUCGCGUUUUUACACCGGCGCAGAGCGAAAGCUGUCAAGCUUGAACAUAUCCUCACUACGGAGACAAGGACGCAGGAAACAGAGCAGCCUCCAACGAGAGAAGAAGACGAGCGCUCUCAACGGGAAGAAGGGCGUCGGCCGCGGCCUUGAUGUGUGGAUGCCUGUGUAUCUGCACUGUACCACAGACGCGACGCUGCCGGCGUUGGAAAUGACACACGGACACACGUCAACUCAGACUGAGGCUCGACGCUCGCUGAUGCUGAGCAGCGCCGCUCGUCCUCUGGGCUGCGUCUGACGGAAGCAGGAGAUGAAACGGGCAAACAAAGACGAAUGGAUCAAUGUGUGCAGGACACGGUCGCAUCCAGCGAAGGGACGCGAGAGACCGCUCGUCUCCCUGACAGUGGAGCUGUUCAGCGACUGCCUGUUCCCAUCCACCGUUUGUUUAUGCUGAGCCUUUAAGGACCACAGCCUGAACCAGAACCCUGCUAAUAAGCAGCACAGCAUCGGCCGGAUGCAUAAUUCAUCACUACUAAACUUGUUAGCGCGUACACAGAAGAAUAGCCCCUCACACGUUCACACAUGAGCAAACACUCACAUGUUGCAGGUUGCAGCUUUUCAGCUCAUCUCUUUAAAUAAUAAUAGAGCGUCAGGUUUGUCCUUCAAAAUAAAUACAGAAUAUUUUGAUUACUAAGUUCUUGU
rnacentral:lncRNA from 1 species